rnacentral:rRNA from 1 species
GACGAACGCUGGCGGCGUGCUUAACACAUGCAAGUCGAACGGAAAGGCCCUGCUUGCAGGGUACUCGCGUGGCGAACGGGUGAGUAACACAUGGGUGAUCUGCCCUGCACUUCGGGAUAAGCCUGGUCAACUGGGUGUAAUACCGGCUAGGAGCCAUUUUUAGUGUGAUGGUUGGAAAGUUUUUUCGGGGUUGGAUGAGCUCGCGGCCUAUCAGCUUGUUGGUGGGGUAAUGGCCUACCGAGGCGGCGACGGGUAGCCGGACUGAGAGGGUGGACGGCCACACUGGGUCUGAGAGGCGGCCCAGACACCUACGGGAGGCAGCAGUGGGGAAGCCUGAACAAUCGGCGCAAGCCUGAUGCAGCGACGCCGCGUGGGGGAUGACGGUCUUCGGGUUGUAAACUCAGUUCGCUAGGGACGAAGCUUUUUGUGACGGUACCUAGAUAAGAAGCACCGGCUAACUACGUG